UCUAUGAUCAUAGGAUGGAUUUGAACAUCCAUAGAUCCAACGAUUCGUUCCACCGUCUCUUUUGUAUCUGAUGUAAAAGACCUUUGCGAUUG
rnacentral:sRNA from 1 species